rnacentral:rRNA from 1 species
GCGCAGCAGUUGCGAAAACUUGUCAAUGCACGAAAGUGUGAACGGGCUACCCCGAGUGCCGUCCGCUGAGGAUGGCUUUUCUCUGCUGUAAGAAGGCAGAGGAAUAAGGAGAGGGCAAGUCUGGUGUCAGCCGCCGCGGUAAUACCAGCUCUCCGAGUGGUAGGGAUGAUUAUUGGGCUUAAAGCGUCCGUAGCUGGCCUUUCAAGUCUCUUGUUAAAUCCAGCGAUUCAAUCGUUGGACUGCGGGAGAUACUGUUAGGCUAGGGGGCGGGAGAAGCCGACGGUAUUUCCGGGGUAGGGGUAAAAUCCUCUGAUCCCAGGAGGACCACCAGUGGCGAAGGCGGGCGACCAGAACGCGCUCGACGGUGAGGGACGAAAGCUGGGGGAGCGAACCGGAUUAGAUUUGGAAAGGAGAAAUAUCCUUCCACUGAAGACCCGGGUAGUCC